UAAUAGGGAAUUUUCGGAAAUGAUUUUGGAAUUUGUUAAAAUGAUUUCAGGACCUACGGAAAUGCCUAUGGUAGAAAAAUACAAUGAAAGGUAAAAGGAACGGUUCAUGGUGAAAGGACCAUGCCAAAAUUUUAAAGGUUUGAAGGAAUGUAUACUUGUUCAAGUGGUUUACAGCAUUGUCUUCCAUGAGGGGAGUACCGAGGAUUUGAGCAAGGAAAGAAAGGUGUGAGUCUCAGGUGAGAAUGAGGAGUAGGCCGGAGCAACUGGCAUUGGACAAAACCAGGGUCGGAAUGGGAUCGGGUGUUUUCACGUCUCACCUUAGUGCCCAGUUUGUCUUGAUUUCUACAACAUGGUCCCGUGGAUAGUCUAGUUUAGGAGAUUAUUGUUAGUUUGAAUUGGUUUCUUCUUGAAGUUGAUACUUAAGACAUUAACCUUAUGUUGUAUUUUCCAUAUUAUGAUCUCACAAUUGAAUAAACUGUUUAAUGUCUUAUUCUUUUUA